rnacentral:rRNA from 1 species
CCUACGGGAGGCAGCAGUGAGGAAUAUUGGUCAAUGGGCGGGAGCCUGAACCAGCCAAGUCGCGUGAGGGAAGACGGUUCUAUGGAUUGUAAACCUCUUUAGGCGGGGAGCAAUGCCGGGCACGCGUGCCCGGAGGGAGAGUACCCGCAGAAUAAGCAUCGGCUAACUCCGUGCCAGCAGCCGCGGUAAUACGGAGGAUGCGAGGGUUAUCCGGAUUGAUUGGGUUUAAAGGGUGCGUAGGCGGAUUUUUAAGUCAGCGGUAAAUUGUCCGGGCUCAACCCGGGCCGGCCGUUGAAACUGGGGAUCUAGAGUGGGCGAGAAGUAGGCGGAAUGCGUGGUGUAGCGGUGAAAUGCAUAGAGAUCACACAGAACUCCGAUUGCGAAGGCAGCAUACCGGCGCCCGACUGACGCUGAGGCACGAAAGCGUGGGGAUCGAACAGGAUUAGAUACCCCAGUAGUC